rnacentral:misc_RNA from 1 species
AUCUUUCAAUUACUUAUUAAAGUAAAUAUAUAUAUAAAAUUUCAUAAAAGUGUGGGGUUUUAAAUACGUGCGCAAGAACCCUAAAGGGUUACUUGCUAGAAUUGAUAAUGAUCCUUCCGCAGGUUCACCUACGGAAA